CUGUAACUUCGGGAGAAGGGACGCUUCCUCUAGCGAUAGAGAAGCCGCAGUGAAAAGACCCAAGCGACUGUUUAACAAAAACACAUGGCUUUGCUAACGCGUAAGCGGACGUAUAAGGCCUGACACCUGCCCGGUGCUGGAAGGUUAAGAGGGGAGCUUAGUCGCAAGGCGAAGGCUUGAAUCGAAGCCCCAGUAAACGGCGGCCGUAACUAUAAC
rnacentral:rRNA from 11 species